rnacentral:rRNA from 1 species
AACGCGAAGAACCUUACCAGGACUUGACAUGCAACUGCACCACCCGUAAUGGGGUGUCCCUUCGGGGCGAUUGCACAGGUGCUGCAUGGCUGUCGUCAGCUCGUGUCGUGAGAUGUUGGGUUCAGUCCCGCAACGAGCGCAACCCCUGCCGUUAGUUACUGUGUCUAGCGGGACCGCCGCGAUCAACGCGGAGGAAGGCGGGGAUGACGUCAAGUCAGCACGGCCCUUACGUCCUGGGCUACACACACGCUACAAUGGUCGGUACAACGGGCUGCCAACCCGCAAGGGGGAGCCAAUCCCAACAAAACCGGCCUCAGUUCAGAUUGUAGGCUGAAACCCGCCUACAUGAAGGAGGAGUUGCUAGUAACCGUAGGUCAGCACACUACGGUGAAUACGUUCCCGGGCCUUGUACACACCGCUACAGU